GCCAUUUAUGUAACAUGAACCCACCUUCUCCCAAGAUUUUCACAGCAUCUUCUUUGAUUUCUCUCGUUUCUUCCACUGUGUCGCUUGCAAUGUUUAUAUCGUCCACGUAUGUACCAUCUUUAAGCUCUCGAACACAAAUCGGAUGAUUUUGUGAGCAUGACAAGACUUAUGUUUGGCCUGGGUCCAAGUCCAUUCAUUCUUGGAGGGACAUUGAACGUUCAUCUAGAGAAGUGCUCACAAAAUCAUCCGAUUUGUGUUCGAGAGCUUAAAGAUGGUGCAUACGUGGACGAUAUAAACAUUGCAAGCGACACAGUGGAAGAAACGAGAGAAAUCAAAGAAGAUGCUGUGAAAAUCUUGGGAGAAGGUGGGUUCAUGUUACAUAAAUGGC